AUUGAACGCUGGCGGCAGGCUUAACACAUGCAAGUCGAGCGGGGUGAUGGUGCUUGCACUAUCACUUAGCGGCGGACGGGUGAGUAAUGCUUAGGAAUCUGCCUAUUAGUGGGGGACAACAUCUCGAAAGGGAUGCUAAUACCGCAUACGUCCUACGGGAGAAAGCAGGGGAUCACUUGUGACCUUGCGCUAAUAGAUGAGCCUAAGUCGGAUUAGCUAGUUGGUGGGGUAAAGGCCUACCAAGGCGACGAUCUGUAGCGGGUCUGAGAGGAUGAGCCGCCACACUGGGACUGAGACACGGCCCAGACUCCUACGGGAGGCAGCAGUGGGGAAUAUUGGACAAUGGGGGAAACCCUGAUCCAGCCAUGCCGCGUGUGUGAAGAAGGCCUUAUGGUUGUAAGGCACUUUAAGCGAGGAGGAGGCUCUUUUGGUUAAUACCCAAGAUGAGUGGACGUUACUCGCAGAAUAAGCACCGGCUAACUCUGUGCCAGCCGCCGCCGUAA
rnacentral:rRNA from 1 species